AGUGAACGCUGGCGGUAGGCCUAACACAUGCAAGUCGAACGGCAGCACAGUAAGAGCUUGCUCUUACGGGUGGCGAGUGGCGGACGGGUGAGGAAUACAUCGGAAUCUACUUUUUCGUGGGGGAUAACGUAGGGAAACUUACGCUAAUACCGCAUACGACCUACGGGUGAAAGCAGGGGAUCUUCGGACCUUGCGCGAUUGAAUGAGCCGAUGUCGGAUUAGCUAGUUGGCGGGGUAAAGGCCCACCAAGGCGACGAUCCGUAGCUGGUCUGAGAGGAUGAUCAGCCACACUAGAACUGAGACACGGUCCAGAAUCCUAAGGGAGGCAGCAGUGGGGAAUAUUGGACAAUGGGCGCAAGCCUGAUCAAGCCAUACCGCGUGGGUGAAGAAGGCCUUCGGGUUGUAAAGCACUUUUGUUGGGAAAGAAAAGCAGCAGGUUAAUACCCCGAUGUUCUGACGGUACCCAAAGAAUAAGCACCGGCUAACUUCGUG
rnacentral:rRNA from 1 species